AUGAACAAGAUCAUGAAGUCAAAUCCUGCUCUGUAUGUGCUGAGGGAGAGAAUAAGAAAGGGUCUUCAGUUGUAUUCAUCUGAACCCACCGAGCCAUAUGUGUCUUCACAGAACUACGGAGAGAUAUUCAGCAAUCAAAUCAUACGGCUUGUGGAUGACAUAAAUGUCUAUCGAGAUACCAUUCACAAAACCUUCGAGGGUAACCUGACGACCAAACCAAUCAAUGGCGCCAUCUUUAUUUUCAAUCCAAGAACUGGUCAACCAACUAUUUCUGAAGGUCAUCCCCACAAGUGUAUGGGCAGGACAAAAGCGUCUAGUUUCUCUGCAUACGAAGAAUCUCCCAGAGCAUGA
rnacentral:rRNA from 1 species